rnacentral:lncRNA from 1 species
AUUACAAACAAAGCUUGAAGACAAUGUUUGUGUAAAUCCCCUAGGAAUUUGACCAACUAAUUUCCUUAAUGGCUCGAGGAAAUUAGAAUUAGUAAAGUCCAUAAUCAUCCUAGUAGUUGGCAUGAGAUAGAUUUAUUUUUAAAAUAUAUAUAUGAUAUAUGUGAAAUGAGAUAAAUGCUAUACAUGUCAACAACGUCAAAUCAAUGAGACCUUAAUUAAUGAAUUAAUAAAUAA